AUUGAACGCUGACGGCAGGCCUAACACAUGCAAGUCGAGCGGAUGAAGGGAGCUUGCUCCUGGAUUCAGCGGCGGACGGGUGAGUAAUGCCUAGGAAUCUGCCUGGUAGUGGGGGAUAACGUCCGGAAACGGGCGCUAAUACCGCAUACGUCCUGAGGGAGAAAGUGGGGGAUCUUCGGACCUCACGCUAUCAGAUGAGCCUAGGUCGGAUUAGCUAGUUGGUGGGGUAAAGGCCUACCAAGGCGACGAUCCGUAACUGGUCUGAGAGGAUGAUCAGUCACACUGGAACUGAGACACGGUCCAGACUCCUACGGGAGGCAGCAGUGGGGAAUAUUGGACAAUGGGCGAAAGCCUGAUCCAGCCACGCCGCGUGUGUGAAGAAGGUCUUCGGAUUGUAAAGCACUUUAAGUUGGGAGGAAGGGCAGUAAGUUAAUACCUUGCUGUUUUGACGUUACCAACAGAAUAAGCACCGGCUAACUUCGUG
rnacentral:rRNA from 1 species